rnacentral:rRNA from 1 species
AACGAACGCUGGCGGCAGGCUUAACACAUGCAAGUCGAGCGCCCCGCAAGGGGAGCGGCAGACGGGUGAGUAACGCGUGGGAAUCUACCCAUCUCUACGGAAUAACGCAUGGAAACGUGUGCUAAUACCGUAUACGUCCUUCGGGAGAAAGAUCUAUCGGAGAUGGAUGAGCCCGCGUUGGAUUAGCUAGUUGGUGGGGUAAAGGCCUACCAAGGCGACGAUCCAUAGCUGGUCUGAGAGGAUGAUCAGCCACACUGGGACUGAGACACGGCCCAGACUCAGACGGGAGGCAGCAGUGGGGAAUAUUGGACAAUGGGCGCAAGCCUGAUCCAGCCAUGCCGCGUGAGUGAUGAAGGCCCUAGGGUUGUAAAGCUCUUUCACCGGUGAAGAUAAUGACGGUAACCGGAGAAGAAGCCCCGGCUAACUUCGUGCCAGCCGCCGCCGUAAUAC